ACAUGUUACAGGUGUGUUGGUGUAAAAAUUGAUGCUGACUGAACUCAGGCAGUUGUGCUGGACCUUCUGUACUUUAUACAGGAGAUGACAGUAAACUUUCAAGUUUAAGAGGUGUGUUGGUGUAAAAAGUGAUGCUGACUGAACUCAGGCAGUUGUGCUGGACCCUCUGUACUUUAUACAGGAGAUGACGGUAAACUUUGAAGUUUAAGAGGUUCUGUAAUUUUGGUUAUAAGUACAAGGUGUGUUGGUGU